CCUACGGGGGGCUGCAGUAGGGAAUAUUGGUCAAUGGGUGAGAGCCUGAACCAGCCAUGCCGCGUGCAGGAAGACGGCCUUCUGGGUUGUAAACUGCUUUUAUCUGGGGAUAAAAAGGCCUUGCGAGGCACCUUGAAGGUACCAGAUGAAUAAGCACCGGCUAACUACGUGCCAGCAGCCGCGGUCAUCCGUAGGGUGCAAGCAUUUUUCGGGUUUAUUGGGUUUGUAGGGGGUGUAUGAAGUCUAUUGAGAAAUCCAACAGCUCAACUGUUGAUGUGCCAAUGAUACUGAUGGACUUGAGUACAGACGAGGUAGGCGGAAUUGACAGUGUAGCGGUGAAAUGCAUAGAUAUUGUCAAGAACACCGAUAGCGAAGGCAGCUUGCUAGCCUGUAACUGACGCUGAGGCACGAAAGUAUGGGGAUCAAACAGGAUUAGAUACCCCAGUAGUC
rnacentral:rRNA from 1 species